rnacentral:other from 2 species
GUACGCCUUCGAUGUGCGUAUGUCUUAGCAAUGUCUAACCUACAGAUCUUUUAGGGAACCCGACUUGAUUUCGGUGAACGCGAAGUGCUCCGCACAGGCGGAAGCCGGACUUAGGGUACCCACCUGCUUUACGCAGGUCUAGACAUAUAAGGCAUACGGCAUUUCAGACCCCUC